UGUCUAAGGGAGCGGGAAGAGAACCAUGAGAGAGAGAGAGAGAAGGGAGACAAAGCUUCUGUAAGAGAGAGAGCCCGUCAUUCAUGAGGGUUUGAAGCUAAAUGGAAGAGAUUGAAGAGAGAAGAAGAAGAUCAACCAUGAAGCUUGGGAAAAUUGAAGGGAUUAAGGGGAAAAGCAAGGAUUUGGGUUAAGGUCAAGACGAGAACAUCGUCCCAUUACUACCGGAAGCUCAUCAUUGUGAGCCAUCAGGGAUUGACACUAGAAUUGUAUUGAGGUCUACCUGUCUGCCAAGCCGCCUGGGGUAUGCCUCCGUGUUGAGGCCUUAAUUUUGAUUACUGGGAGUUGUGUAAUUUAUGGAGUCUUAUAUAAGUGUGUGUGUGAGAUCUGCAUAAUUCUGUGAUUGUAAAUGUAAAUAUGGAAGUGUAUUUAAACGCCUAAAUUUAUUUAUUUCUUCAUGUAUGCACAAGCUCAAUGGACGUUAUCUUUAUAUUGAUAUUUGCUUCCGCUUAUGGCCCGUAUUUGAAUAAGUAUUCGUGACAUUUUGUUUUGAGGCCUAUGUACAGGUCGGUCAUGGACCAAACUUUUAGGGGCGAGUUUGGGUCGUGACAAUUUUUAGGUUUGUUCAUUUGUUAGCGCACGUGCUCUCUCUCUCUCUCUCUCAUUGUUUAACCAAAACAUUCAAAACUUAAAUAAAUUUCUAUAGUUGCUGAGCAACAUCAAGGUUUAUUUUCCACUUCUUUUAUAAGGAGACCAA